GUAGUUUGAUCCUGGCUCAGGAUGAACGCUAGCUACAGGCUUAACACAUGCAAGUCGAGGGGAAACGACAUCGAAAGCUUGCUUUUGAUGGGCGUCGACCGGCGCACGGGUGAGUAACGCGUAUCCAACCUGCCCACCACUUGGGGAUAACCUUGCGAAAGUAAGACUAAUACCCAAUGACGUCUCUAGAAGACAUCUGAAAGAGAUUAAAGAUUUAUCGGUGAUGGAUGGGGAUGCGUCUGAUUAGCUUGUUGGCGGGGUAACGCCACAAGGCGAUGAUCAGUAGGGUUCUGAGAGGAACGUCCCCANAUUGGAACUGAGACACGGUCCAAACUCCUACGGGAGCA
rnacentral:rRNA from 1 species